rnacentral:lncRNA from 1 species
UCUGCAUCAAGUGAUAAGAACAAGUAAUCUGACGUCCUGUAAUCAUUAUGAAGCCAUAAUUUGAGAUACAAUAAAAAAGAUACAGUUUAAAAAAAGUUUAUGUACAAAGUAUUGGUAUUGGAUCAGUAUCGCCGAUACCACCCUGAAUUUUACUUGUUAUCAGAUCGGAAAGGAAAUGAGUGGUGUAAUAGUGAAUUGUUGCCUCCCCCAGUGGUAAAAUACAGAAGUGCCUGUUACAGGGCUAGUUCUUGGUUGACCAACGUAUAACAAAAAAGGGUAGUUUGUGCACCACUAAGAAAACAACAAGUUAGUGUGUGAUGUCCUGCUGUUCAAUAAAGCACGUAUCCACGUCCUUCUCUUCUGAUCUUUUCAAGACCCUAAUCAAGAAUAUCACAACUGGCGACGAGGAUUCUAAAGAUUUCCACAGCGUGACAGAGGCUGUAGAAGGGCUGUGUUCACAUGUAAAGGAAAAAACAAGACGUUUUUCUUCACAGCUGCAGCGGAACAGUUUUGUGAUGAGAUUUUCUGCUUCUGAGGAAGUGAAGAAGAACCUGACGGGCACUGUGGGAGGAAACAUCACUCUACCUGCACCUGUGCUGGAGAAAGGAUAUCUGUUAUAUGGAAGAACGAUUAUUGCUGAUGUGAAAGGCGGGAUAUUUGACUUAUCAGAGGACAUUUACAAGAACAGACUUCAGUGGGACAGAAACUCUGGACUCUUUACACUCACAGAGCUGCAGAGGAACGACUCAGGGAUUUAUACUGUCGACUCUAAAACAGGAAACGUUUUCACAUCAUCAUAUAAGCUGACAGUGUACGACUCUGUACCGACUCCUGCAGUGAAGAAAGUGAGUGUGAGCUCUGAGAGCUGCUCCUUACUGUGUUUGGUGGACAGAGAGACCAAACUGCUGUGGUUUAAAGACGAGCAGAGACUGAACCAGAGCAGCUCUGCGCUCUCUCUGCCUCUCACUGUGCACAAACAGGACUUCAGCUCCUCUUACAGAUGUGUGGCUGCAAACCCUGCAGAGAAUAAAACUCUUCCUGUCCAUGUGAGAACGACCUGUGGAGACACCAACAACGACACCAACAGCUCGACUGAACCAAGAAGCUAUAACAUCCUCAUUAUAAUCUUCUGUGUCCUGUCGGUUGUGAUGAUCAUACUUGCUGCUUUUUUCAUCAAGUCAAAGUAUCUUCCCCGAAACAAAACAAAGACAAACGGACAGGCACAAGGCAGGUAUUUAUUUUCUCUUUUUAUUUUAUUUAUUCUAUUUACUUCUAACCUCUUUGGAGCUUGUAGGUCUAAACCUUCAGAUCCAGAUCACAUUAGACAAAAACACAUUUCAGCCCCGUCAGCUGUAACACGUCUGCGUUUGACCGACUUCAGUAGAGUCUUUGUCCUGUUAGUGGAACUAUGA